rnacentral:rRNA from 1 species
UACGAAGGGUGCAAGCGUUACUCGGAAUUACUGGGCGUAAAGCGUGCGUAGGUGGUUCGUUAAGUCUGAUGUGAAAGCCCUGGGCUCAACCUGGGAAUGGCAUUGGAAACUGGCGACUAGAGUGCGGUAGAGGGUAGUGGAAUUCCCGGUGUAGCAGUGAAAUGCGUAGAGAUCGGGAGGAACAUCCGUGGCGAAGGCGACUACCUGGACCAGCACUGACACUGAGGCACGAAAGCGUGGGGAGCAAACAGG